GAUGAACGCUGGAGGCGUGCUUAAUACAUGCAAGUCGAGCGAACAGACGAGGAGCUUGCUCCUCUGACGUUAGCGGCGGACGGGUGAGUAACACGUGGAUAACCUACCUAUAAGACUGGGAUAACUGCGGGAAACGGGAGCUAAUACCGGAUAAUAUAUUGGACCGCAUGGGGCAAGAGUGAAAGGCGGUGUUGCUGUCAGUUAUAGGUGGAUCCGCGCCGCAUUAGCUAGUUGGUAAGGUAACGGCUUACCAGGGCAACGAUGCGUCGCCGACCUGAGGGGGUGGUCGGCCCCCCUGGAACUGGGCCACGGUCCAGCCUCCUACGGGGGGCAGCGGUAGGGAAUCUUCCGCAGUGGGCGGAACCCUGACGGGGCGCCGCCGCGUGGGUUGUGAAGGUCUUCGGAUCGUAAUGCUCUCUUAUUAGGGAAGAACAGAUGUGUCAGUAACUGUGCACGUCUUGACGGUACCUGGUCAGGAAGCCCCGGCUAACUACGUG
rnacentral:rRNA from 1 species